AUUAAUCUGGUUUGAGAGUACUGCUAAUGAAGGCCAGUUCUCUGACAUUUCAUUAGAAGGAAAUACACUAUUUUGCUAGAAAGGGUUUCAUUGCAAACACAAGCUUUUAGGCUUCUGAUUAGAUAGCUGAUUUACGGAAAUACUUGUUAGGAGAAAAUAGUCCUAACUUGUGCCGCUUUGAAUGGGGCCUUGAAGUGGAGUGUGUGUCCGUAGGGGUACUUGGGUUACUCAGAUUGAUAAUCCUUGUACUCAAGUUUAUGGAAUGAUCUACUGACUGUGUUUUAUACGUAGCAUCCUGCUGAACUAAUUGCAACAUUGAUGUAAUCACACCCUCAUAGUUCAAGAAGUUCUAGAGGCAUUUCUAAUGAUCCUUCUGCUGCUAUUCCUUCAACUGAAGGAAAGUCUCCUUUUUCUUCCAGUGUUUCUGCUCAGCUUCCUUGGAUAUAUGUUCCACACCCAGGCCAAGUAAGGGCUGUCAAGGGCAAACUUUGUGUCUCGCCAGAAGCUCCCUGAAGGUGCCCCCUGCCUCUUGCUUGUAUCUGGCAGUUGCUGAGAAACCUGUGAUCUUCCCACUCCAAUUUGCCACAGUACAGCUUUUCGUCUCUGGACCAUCUUGCUGCCUUUGCUUUUCUCGAUGAAGUUGUGAAAGUCGCAAUGGCAUCUACAAACAACUGAAAGUUUUACUGGAACUGAAAUCAACAGUAGCUGGUACAGCUACUGCACCCAAGCCAGAAGACUAAAGGCCCAGAAAGUUCUGGCGUUACAAGUGAAGAAUGACUUACUGCUUACUCUCCAGCAGGAAAGGGUCAAGCAAACAAAGAACAGCCCAAAGUCGUUGCAGGUCUGGCAGCAGCACAAGCAGGCUGAUGAGCCCACUGGCUGCAGCAGAGGAACCCAGAAACAGGCAGCAGGAUUGAGGUGGGGUCCGUGGCACAAAGCACUGCCAAAGGCAGCUCUGCAGACCCUCUGGAUCAGGAUGCGCAGGGUCAUCACGUGGGCACUCCUUUUGCUAUUGAGAAACACAGAGAGAUCAUUGAAUCUCCUGCAUCCAGCAAAGGGGAUGUUUUUGAGGAAAACCCUGUUAAUAGCCACAAGCUGUUUUGUGCAGAUAUUAAGACUCCUGAAGAAUUUCUUCCAAGACAGACCCUUACCCAGGCCCCAGGGCCAGAAAUUGUAUUUUUCCCUUGAGAGGCGCUGCCCCAGUGAAAGCUCAGGUCCAAAAAGUGCAUCUCAGCAGACUCACAGGAGAGUCUUUGAUUUUUUUCACAUGGCAAGAAUGCCUGGAAAUAUAUGUGAAGGCCAGUAG
rnacentral:lncRNA from 1 species